rnacentral:sRNA from 2 species
AGCUGCAUCGGGACUAUCUCUGGUGGUCUCUUCUCAGCUGUUCCCCUCUGGAGGUUUAAAGCCUUCAAACCUGUAGCACCCGUUCGCGGGUGCUUUUUU